GGUUCUAUCGUCUAGUGGUUAGGACGUUCGGUUUUGAUUAAUUACGUAAUCGUAUCCCUCUUCCGAACAACUUGGGUUCAAACCCCAAUAGGACCU
rfam:Naematelia encephala strain 68-887.2 BCR39scaffold_68, whole genome shotgun sequence.